AAGUGAUAAAUGCCACUAAAAUAGUUUUUACCUGCAAACUGAACUACUUUGUAAUUGAUAGAUCAUAGUUGUUCUGAGCAAGAAUUUUGUACCAGCUAACACUUUACCAUUAAUAAUAACAGUAUUGUCCCCAGUAGUAUCCCCAUGUGUGCCACUGUCCAUUAGGGCAGAGUAUGGAAGGGAAACUUCCAAGGGUGAAGACAGGCCAAUAUGCAGAUCCCACAUGUUAGAGGUGAGGCUGCUCCCUUUGGCACCCCAGUAGCUCUGGGCAGUGUACUGCUGCUGUCGGGCACGGCACCACUUUGUCCAGGAUCUGUGCUAUUGCAUUUUGGUGGAGGAAAUAGUACAGAAGCUUCUGCUUUCGUUAAGGCUUUGCAGGUAGGGGUUUUUAAUUGUUUAGAAACAAGAAGAUUGCUGAUAACUAAAAUAUCAAGAUAGAAGAUAAAUUUUCCCUUUGGUGCUUCUAAUGAGUAGAAAUGAGAACUGCUGUUGGGUAGAUGAUUGCCAGACAUUCUUUCCAGUUUGGAUGGUUUCCAUUUAUUUGUUUAUUUAAGCUAUAGAUUCCCUGGGCACUGGACAUGGCUUCCACCUUGCUUUUAGUGCUUUUAGAGGCAAGCAGGACAGGAGACAGGCCUUCUGGGAUGGAGGGAACACAUCUGGGUGGAGAAGAGAGGAGAGUAAAUGGAGAAGCAAGAUGAGUUGAUGAAAUUGAGGCUGGGAAGUGAUACUACAGCUUCCAGAAAGACAUUCCAAACCAUGCAGUAGAAAGAUUAAUAAGUCCUUUCAUUAAUGUGGGAGAGUUUAGAAUAUAAAACACCUGUGGGGCUCCAGGGAGAUGCUUAGGAGAUAGGGUUCCUGGCUGAAGAGGAGGCACAGGAGAUCCUGAGGCCCAGGAGCUGCACAGCCUUCCUGUGGGUCCACUCCAGGGCCUGCCACCAGAAUCACCCCUUGUGUUAGCACCUUUUCUUUGCAACAGAGUUGAGCUGGGGCCAGCCAGCUCUCCUCUGUUUGUAUUCACAGAGGUGACCGCUACACAGAAGUGCAAAGCAAUCAGUUUGUGUGAGGGCAGGAAGAGAGAGAAAAUGGCUGCACCCUCCCCUCCCUCCACAGCGUACUGAGGCUCUCAAAAGUUUGAGUGUCAAAAGACAGCUUGGGUGUGCACGUCUGUGUCCUUAAGCUCCUGUGUGGCCUAACAUUUUUGUUCAUCCAGGAUGAACUUCACUGCAGCUCCUCAGAGGAUGUAUGUUCCACAGCUGGCUCCUGGGGGUCUUGAGGGGACAAGAUCUGACCUUGGCAUAAGGGCUUUCCCUGUUGAAACAUUUCUUCCUGUUCAUCUGGCUUCUGGGCUACAGCUACUGCAUGGGCCAGUUUCACGUGGCAAAACCAUGGGUUGGGCUGUGUUUCAUUCCAGGUCUGAAGUGUAACGUCUCUCCCAGUCCUGUGGAGACGGGUUUGUUGCUGACAUGUGGAUGAUGAUGCAUAUGGUUGCAUCUGAUGCAUUGCAUAUGGUCAUUUGAAUGGGCCCUCAACCCCCUUGAGCCUCAUGGUGCCAUGCUGUGCCCCCCGUACAGGUGUGGUCUCCUCCCCAGGUGCCGCUCUGUCAGGGGCAGUCAUGACAACGGCACCAUCUGGCUUUGAGAGAGAGAGAGAGGGAGAGACAGCCCUACCUCAUUGAUUGCAGCUUAUUGACAUUAGGAAAUUCAUUGUCUGCGAAAGAAGUUGGUAAUAAUUGAGUUAAUAAAUAAGGAGUGUGUGUGUACAGAUUAGGCAGUGAAUAACUUAUGGGUUUCCUGACUGCCCUGACAUUUUGCUUCUUCCAUUGCAUAGGGUGUGACGUGGGUUAGUGGUGGGAAUGGUGGUGGGGCACCCCAGGCCCUCACCUGGGGAAGGGACAGUCCCCACCACCUCAGUGUUCCUUCGGGGCUCGCCGUGUGUCUGACUGUGUCCCCGGGGGCGGGGAGCUUGGUUAAUGCUUUUAGUGCCAUUUUCCAACAAAUGAGAGAGAGGUUUAAAAAUAGUAACAGCCCUUUGCGCUUGACUUUUUUUAGGCAUUUUGAGAAAUAGCUGCAUCCCUUUGUCUGGGAGUCGGAGAAGAUGACCUGCUCGUAGAGGUCCUCCUUAGCUCCUGUGGGGCUGUGGGGGUGGCCCCACUCCUCUCCCCAGCUGUGUGUGUUAACUGUCCCCCUCCGCACACACUUAGUGGCAAGACGGGUCGUUUCAGGGAUGUGUUUUGCUUAAUGGGAGCUGGGAAAGGUGUGGUGCAGAAAGGAAACACCUCUCCUUGCCUGAUAAACCCUGCAUUUGUCAGCAAGACAAUUCCCUUUUGUCUAAAUGCUGCUGAUGCCCCCCCAGUUAUAGGGGCAGGGGGCUCAGGGGCACGAGUGCGUGUCGGUGUGUGCCACCGUGCAAGCUCAGGUUGAGCCAUUUGCGUACAGGCUGGAGCAGCAUUAUAAUUUUUAAUUGCAAUUUCAUUUGUUAUUCUCUCCCUUUCCCCCACCCCUCUCUGUAUAAUCUGGAUCAUUGCUCUCUGUAGCUGAUUCCGUGGGAGACCAAGCAGAGUGCGUGGGUGCAGAAUAUAGAAAGCCAGAGCCAUAGAAUCUGUUAUUUGCGUCAUUCUAGGAGACGGGGCUGUUUGCCUGACAAAUAUACAGAAUUAAUCCUGGUUUUAUCAAUAUCUGUCUUUUGCUACAGUAGCCAAAUACAAGUGUAAGGUGGUGGGGGUGUGAGCUGCUGCUGCUGCUGUUCAGACUGGGGGGGGGUUGGAGAGAAGGGGUGUUAAAAUAUAUUCCCUUCCCCCCCCUCCCCCCCCAAUGCUGUUUGCAUUGCAAAUACUAAAAACCUGAGAUUUUGUUCCAAUUUGGGUGGGUUUUUUUUGCUAAAAUUGCCAUAGCCAUACCCGAGGAGGGGGUGCGUGGGGAGGGGGGGCACAUUUUCUUGCGGUGUAUGGCUAUGCAGAUUGCUCUCUCUGUCUGUGCUUCUGCAUGGGGUGUGUGUGUGUGUGUGUGUGUGUGUUUUGAGAAACACCUCCCUAUCCCCAGCGCAUAAGAUUCCCCCCCCCCCUUACAAACACACAUUUGCACACCCCCCCCGGAUUUUUGUGCAACUGCACAGAAAGCUGCACACCACAAAAUAUGGGGCUUGCUAAUUAACUCUUUUCCUCGAAUUGAAGUGCCUUUCUGCAAGCACAAAGCUCCGAGCACAGACAUCUUUUAUGAUGAACUAGAGCCUCUGAAGAGGAGAAUCUGAACGUGACGUCAAUAGCUGAUAACUGACGCAGCCUUGCAAAGGAGUCUCAGGCUGGCUCCUUGCAGCCUGCAAGCCCUAAUGAUUCUAUUUUUUCCCCAGUCCCCCCUCGUAGUGAAUUACUAGAACGCAAACACACACACACGCCCUUUUUUCAUAUAUAUAUUUAUAGAUCCUUUAUUCUCCAAACAAAGGAUGGUAUUUUUUUAAGGGGGAGAAAGGCAGGGGGCGAGGAGAGAAUUAAAAAAACAAAAAAAAAAAAAACAAAAAACCCCAGCAGCCCUUCUUUGUGCUGGGUGCAAUUCACCGUAUGGAGCCACCUCAGUCUCCCGGCAAAGCAUCCCCGCCUGAAACCCACGUUUGUGCACAAUGGCCAAGUGGUGCAUGGUGGUUGUUGUGUUUUCUCCCAAGCCCACUUUACAAAGACACUGCAAGAAGACAGACACAGUAAUGCUUGCAAGGCAACAGGCAGAGAGACAGACUCGGUACAACUGUGGAUUAGGGGUUUGUGCAGUAGGACAGCACGGAAGGCGGGCAGUUGAUGGUUUUUUAGUGGUUUUUUUUUUUAUUUUUUUUUAUUUUUUUUAAUUCUCUGCAAUGAUGCACCUAAAGCAACAGUGGAUGGUGGUGCAGAAAGAAGCUGGGGUAGGGGGACGCAUGGCUGGGGGUGGCUGUGUGCGGGGUGGGGGGGGGGGGGGGGGGGCGGCAGACUUAAUGCACAUUUAAUGUUUUGGACGUAGCGUUCCAGCGAAAUGCCUUUGUGUGUGGAUUUUUUCCCCAGUACCUGCUAAAAAUAGCAUCAGGGUUUUGAUCGCGUUCCAGAAAUAGACAGAGGGUUGCACUUGUAUAAAAAGCGAGCGCGGGUGGAAGAAAACCUGGACAUCACCGCAGUAUUUUUUUCCAACUCCUGUCUGGAAAUUAAUUGUUGGAUUCCCCCCACUCCCCCACCUCCCGAUCCCCCCCCCCCCCCCCCCCCCCCCCCCGCCCCCUCCCCUACCCGAGGAGUUCCCGCUCGGUAAGUAGCGAUCUUUCCUGUGCAUGCUGCAGCCAGCGGCCGUGAGUCUCGUCUUUCCUUUCUGCAUGCUCGGAUCCCUCCGUUUUGCUCCCUUUCUACUUUUCUUUAAGGCGAGGGGGCUCCGCUCGUCUCCAUAACGCAUUUGCUGCAUGCACGGAGCCCGGAGACAGGGAAUUCUUGCAGAAAGGGGAAUCACCCUGUCGGUGUGGCCGCGCCGUCGGGGCCGAGGAAUCUCUGGCACCGCAGGAGCAGCAGCCCACACCAGGAACGUGGAGCAGCCUCUGCUUCGGACAGGAGGACGUCCGUCCCAGGAGAAAGAGCAUCAGUUCUCAGUUGGGCCACCUUCCAUGCGAUGGAGCAACGUAGCUAAGCUGUAGGUUGCCUUAUGCUUGCAACACUGCAACCCCGAGGAAGUCUGCAUCUGCAGAGAUCUGCCUUCAUGCCUGGACUGAUAAGCGACGCUGGGGAAGCGUCUUGGCCAGAUGCUGCUGCAGUAUCCCGCCUCCUCAUCGCAUCGCCCUCUGGAAGACAGAAGUGACGAUCAGCAGCGUGGUGUUGUCCUGCAGGCAGCUGAAGAACCACUUUGACAGCAAGCAGGAGAACAACUAUGCAGUGUAAUCACAGCCUGUCUGUGCUCUUUCUAACAGUGUACAUGAGCACCCUAUUCCCAGCGAGGGGAUGCUGUAACCUCCCCCUGCUGACCUGUAUUCUUCUCCGUUACUGUAACCAAGCUGUUUCUUUCCCACGGCCACGCGUUCCUGCAGAUAUACCAAGGGUUCCCAUGCAGAUAGGUUUACAAAUUCAGGAAGGGCUUGGACAGAGCAAAAGGAGAAUGAAGUAAUUCCCAAAUAUUUGCACUGUGGCUGAUGAAAUUAGCAGGAGAGCUGAGUGGGUGUAUAGGGGUCUGCUGGGGGACGGAUGGAAGGAAACCUGGGGACAAACUGUCUGCUGUUCGACGUGCUCUGAGUGCUGUGUGAUAAAGGUGAAUCACCCAGCUUAGCUGCAGGUGAGCCAGCAGGACAGUGGCUGGGGCCGAGUCCCACUGCAGCCUGUGUGGGGGCUGUGUGCUGGGUCCGGUGGGCUUUGAAUCCCACCACAAAGACAGUGGCUGUCGACAAGGUCACGAACGCAGAGCUUCGCCUUCUGUUGAUUAUGUGGUUGUCAGUGGAAGAAUUACUGUGUAUCUAUGGGAAAUGUUAAAAAACAACAACGCCUUUUUUUCUUGAAUAAAUCUGUGAAACGAACCAACCUUUGUUUCUGUUCUGUUUCUUUGGGUUUCAUUCCCUUUGCGCUUAGCGACCCAUCGCUGUCCAACCCCCCCCCCCU
rnacentral:lncRNA from 1 species